rnacentral:rRNA from 1 species
AGGACGAACGUUGGCGGCGUGCCUUACACAUGCAAGUCGUACGCGAAAGGGUGAACCGGCUUGCCGGGGAUCCCGAGUAGAGUGGCGAACGGGAGCGUAACACGUGAGAAACCUGCCUUGGAGUGGGGAAUAACUUCGAGAAAUCGGAGCCAAUUCCGCAUGAUGCAGCGGCCCCGCAUGGGGACAGUUGUUAAAGACGGCCUCUGCUUGCAAGCCGUCGCUUCGAGAUGGUCUCGCGGCCUAUCAGCUAGUUGGUGAGGUAAUAGCUCACCAAGGCGACGACGGGUAGCCGGCUGGAGAGGGUCGUCCGGCCUCGAGUUGGGACUGGAGACACGGCCCAGACUCCGACGGGAGCAGCAGUGAGAUCGUGCGACAGUGGCGAAGCCUGACGCAGCGACGCCG